rnacentral:rRNA from 1 species
CAGGGUUUGACAUGCAAUAGACCGCGGCAGAAAUGUCGCCUUCUCGCAAGAGACUGUUGCACAGGUGCUGCAUGGCUGUCGUCAGCUCGUGCCGUGAGGUGUUGGGUUAAGUCCCGCAACGAGCGCAACCCUUGUCGUUAGUUGCCAGCGAGUAAAGUCGGGCACUCUAGCGAGACUGCCUAGGUUAACUAGGAGGAAGGUGAGGAUGAUGUCAAGUCCGCAUGGCCCUUAUGCCCUGGGCUACACACGUACUACAAUGGCCAGUACAGAAGGAAGCAAGACCGCGAGGUGGAGCAAAUCCUAUAAAACUGGCCCCAGUUCAGAUUGCAGUCUGCAACUCGACUGCAUGAAGAUGGAAUUGCUAGUAAUGGCGAGUCAGCUAUAUCGCCGUGAAUACGUUCCC